UACAGAGGGUGCAAGCGUUGUUCGGAAUCACUGGGCGUAAGGCGCGCGCAGGCGGAUGGUUGCGUCCGGAGUGAAAUUUCGCCGCUCAACGGCGAAGCUGCUUUGGAUACGGACCGUCUAGGGACCGGUAGAGGCUGGUAGAAUUGCAGGUGUAGCGGUGGAAUGCGUAGAGAUCCGGAAGAACACCGGUGGCGAAGGCGGCCUGCUGGGCGGCGACUGACGCUGAGGCGCGACAGCGUGGGGAGCAAACAGG
rnacentral:rRNA from 1 species